AAUGUAAACAUACUUUAAUGGAGCAUCAUUGAAUCCUUUAAAACAAUUACAACCUAGAAAUAGUUAAUCACCACAAUUAUGGCUUUGGAUUACCUGUAUUAGAACAAAGAUCUCUGAGAGAUCAAGUAACUCUGGUAAAAAGGGUCCUUGAGCAACUAUGAACUCAUGCAUCAUAAAAUUGAUGAGGAAGCAAAAUUAAAUAUGGUAAACAGAUGAUUUACUGUUAUGCAAAGUCAAAGGAAUACAGGGAUCAUGUAUCUACCAAUAUACAUUUAGGGCUGAGACUCCAAAGAGAGCACUAAUUGUUCUGGUUGCUUCUUGGUUCAGGCAUGGGACCAAAUUGAUAAGGUGUUGUUAUAUCCGAGAAGAGAUCAUAGGGAUGGUGUUCUGAAGGUAAGCAGCAGCUGCAGCCACUCCACUUCCCAGCUUCACUUGGUAUCCUACAUCUCUGAGUACCAUUUCCACACCACUCAAGCAACCAAGCAAUUGCAACUGCAAAACUCGAAAAGAGGAUGGUCAGCAAAACACAGUAACAACUGGCUGCAUUACCUACCUAUAGAGCACAAACUUCUGGUAUGAAACUGUUCUACCCAUGAAAGUGUAUACAAGUUCACAUGAAAGCAAUGCAACAGAGUAGGGAAAACUACAAUGGAAAACAAUCUAUGCGCAAGAUCAUUAAAUGGUGGAUUUUAGAGGACAAUGCAAUCUGUCCCAAUAAUAAGAUUUUGUUGCCAGUAAAAGUACAUGAAUUUUUAUCUUAGCAUUAUUUUUAAUCAACUAAAUCCAUCAUAUUUUCUACUAAUAAUAAUUAUUGGUUUUUUUUGGUGAAUUCUUUUAGCAGAAUCUUUUGUGUGAGUUUUCCUCUUUAUCUUACUCUUCCCUUUCGAAUCAUCCAAUUUUUAGUAAUGGAUCAACCGUAUAGGCUACUUUGCCUUCCCACUCAUUUUUUUCUUGGAUACUUGACCUUGAUUCCUUGCUCUGAACUACAUAAUCUUUGCAAGAUGCUUGAACUAGUUAUAAUUGGAAUAAACAAUUACUUCAUGCAAAUUAGUGGCAUUGACCUGCAGCAUGUGAUAAAACAAUAUUUUUUAGUUUUCAUCACAGAAUAACAGAUGUUAGUCGGGAUUCAAUUUGCCUUAGAUACUAACUUUAGCAUAUUAUUGACAUCCCCCUGAUAAAAUGAAUGACAUGCUACAAUAUCUAGUUCACAGCAACAUGCAAACACCACAACCCUUAUGCUUAUGAUGAAGCAGAUAGUAACAAGAUACACAAUAUAAUGUUAUUUAGAUCACCUAUUUGCAUACCAAUUCUAACAUAGUUUUCAAAUUAUUCACACUCACUCUCUUUAGUUCAACUUUAUAAAUUCAGCAGCUAACUAUUCAAUCCUACCUGAUAUAAUCAGUAACUAUGGUUUAGCUGUAAAGUAAUCUGCAAUUCCAAACUAACAGCUAUCAUAUGAUAUGAUAUAAUGUAGCACAUUAAUGAUGGACCUUGAGGCAUCAUUAGUCUAACACAAUUACAUGGCUAAAGAAAUUCUCAGCCUAGACAUGAUGUUAUAUGCUAAAGAGAACUAUUUUAGUUCACAACUUCCAUGCAACAUUUUGAACCCUAAAUCAUCCAAAUAAACCAUCAGUUUAGUGUAAAGAUAGUCUCCUUUAGCAUCUGAAACUGUUAGAUGAAUUUUCAAGUCCAUAAAGUACAAGAAUGAUAUCAAGUAUCAUGAUUGCACCUAACCUUAUCUUUUGAUUGAUCAUAGCUCACUUCUAAUUGACAUAUGAACUAUUACAAUGAAUAACACUCAGUUUAGUUCACUUGAAGAUAACUAACACAAGAUAUUUCAAUCAGAAAUAAAGAUGUAGGAGCAAGUUUGACACGAGCAGCGAAGCUAACCAUUGAUAAAGUGAAUGACAGGUAAAACUGAUCUGAAGCCUAGAUCUCAAGUGUCGGUUUAGGCCAUAACUCAAUUAACUUACUUAACUCACAGUGGAAUAGUUAGCAGCAAUGCAAAUGCAAGAGUCACCUAGGAAAUUUAAUGAAAAAUGUACCUUUCAGAAUCCGAUAUCAGAAAAACACAGUUUUAUUGAAUGUCUUGCGAACAUUUGUGAGAAAUGGAGAUAAAAAUGCAUACAUGCCAGAAAUGAUUAUAUUCAUAUUCGUAAAUUGGUGGCUGCAGAAUAUUCAGGGGAGGCGAAAAUUGAUGAACUUGCUGUUUCUUUAGCACAUAACAAUUGAAAAAAUAUAUAUGUAAAUUCUUCAACCAUAAGAUAGUGAACUAUGUAGUUAUGAAACUGCUAAAGUAAACUACGAAUUCAGUACAAACCCAAAGAUUAGAAUGGAACAAAAUAAGGAAAAUUCAUUAAUUUUCCUAGUUUAAGUCUAGAUCUACCUCCAACAAAUGUUAGAAAGAAAACAAUUGCCUCAUGUUUCAUAAAUUCAGACACAUAUACAAGAUUCUAGUUAGAAGAGAAGCAAUAUUACUAAAUAAAAAAGGGAAGAAAGGAAGCCAUACAUCAUUAAGGUUGCCAAGAUGCCCUAUCCUGAACACCUUUCCUGCCACUUUAUUAAGACCAAGCCCUAAGCUCAGAUUGUAUCGUGUCCACGCUCUCUUCACAACAUCAGAACUGUUAAUAUGAGGUGGAACCAUCACAGCAGUGACAGUAUCACUAAACCAUUCCUCCUUCUGUGUACAGUUCUUCAAGCCCCAAGCCUCUACAGCAAGCCUGCAUUUUCAAAAGAAUGAAAAUUUGCAAUUAUAGUUUAAGAAUGCAGCAACUACCAAGAGUUAAAUUACUGAAUUGAACAAUUCUUUUGGUUUUCUAGUGUUUCCCACAAACACAAAGACUGAAGGUAUUACAGUUGACAGAGAAAAAAUCUUGAGGAAUAAUACAUCAACUGCAACUAUUUGUAUACCUUGUUGCUUUUCCAAGUCGGCUGUGCCUUGCGAUCACAUUGUCAAGGCCUUCCUCAAAUAAAAGAUCCAAAGCAGCUCUGAACCCAUACAGAAGUUGGAUGGAAGGUGUGUAGGGCCAAUAAGUUCCCAUUUUAUAGAACUUCAAGUAGUCAUUCCAGUCAAAGAAAACCCUUACUGAUUUGGCUGACUUAGCAGCUUCAAGUGCUUUAGGACUAGCACAUACAAUUCCCAUGCCAGUAGGCAUCGAAAGAGCUUUUUGUGAUCCUGUCAAAGCAACAUCAACUCCCCAUUCAUCCAUGCGGAAGUCAAUAGCACAUAUAGAUGAAACUCCAUCCACAAGUAAUAAUGCAGGAUGAUUGUGCUCAUCUGCAAAGGCAAAGCUAUAGCAUCAGCAUAAUAUAGACCAUCAAAGAAAGAAACAAUAUGAUCACAAAUUGGACAAAAUGAUAAAAACAAACACGUUAGAAGAAUGUGAGAAAACUCCAACUUGUGAGAAAAAAAGGUAGCAUCCAAGGCAUAUAUGGAAAGAUAGGACAUCGGAAAGUAUAUGUAAUGAAAAUCAAUAAUCGGAGAAUUAAUCUGACGAAAAUUCUUAUACAUACCGAGCAGUUUCCUCACAGUUGCCAGAUUAUUGGUGACUCCAGUUGCUGUCUCAUUGUGAACAAUGCAAACAGCCUUGAUUGAAUGAGACCAAUCAGCUGCUAGUUUAGAUGCCAAUGCAUCAAGAUCGGCACCUCGUCCCCACUCACUUUCUAUUACAUCGACAUUGAAGUUGAGGCGUUGUUGUUGAUCAAUCCAGAGAAGACUAAAUUGACCGAUGAGAAAAGACACAAUCUUAUCACCAGGUGAUAG
rnacentral:lncRNA from 1 species